AAACAUUUGAUCAAUGGAAAUCUCAGGGUUUAGCAAAGCAAAAGUGGUUUUCCCAGAGUGAGGCUGACCCACUGUAUUCCAGUUGUGCUGAUCGCUGUGCUUGCCCCAAAAGGGGAAAACUCAUUUGCAUAAUUUGGUUUAGUGGGGACGUGCAUUCAUGCUAAUCCCUG